rnacentral:rRNA from 1 species
GACGUAGGGCGCGAGCGUUGUCCGGAUUUAUUGGGCGUAAAGAGCUCGUAGGCGGCUUGUCGCGUCGACUGUGAAAUCCCGCGGCUCAACUGCGGGUCUGCAGUCGAUACGGGCAGGCUAGAGUUCGGUAGGGAGACUGGAAUUCCUGGUGUAGUGGUGAAAUGCGUAGAGAUCCGGAGGAACACCAGCGGCGAAGGCGGCAUCCUGGACUGGUCCUGACACUCAUGAGCGAAAGCGUGGGGAGCGAUCCGG